rnacentral:pre_miRNA from 16 species
GAUGGUUUACCCUGUAGAACCGGGUUUAUCUGAUUAUUCGGAAAAUAAGCUCGUCUCUACAGGUUGAACCUUUU